GACGAACGCUGGCGGCGUGCUUAACACAUGCAAGUCGAGCAAGGCCCCUCCUUCGGGAGGGUGUCCUAGCGGCGAACGGGUGAGUAACACGUGGGCAACCUGCCCUCAGCUCUGGGAUAACUCCGGGAAACCGGGGCUAAUACCGGAUACGACCUCCACGGGCAUCUGCGGAGGUGGAAAGUUUUUCGGCUGAGGAUGGGCCCGCGGCCUAUCAGCUAGUUGGUGGGGUAGUGGCCCACCAAGGCGACGACGGGUAGCCGGCCUGAGAGGGCGACCGGCCACACUGGGACUGAGACACGGCCCAGACUCCUACGGGAGGCAGCAGUGGGGAAUAUUGCGCAAUGGGCGAAAGCCUGACGCAGCGACGCCGCGUGAGGGACGAAGGCCUUCGGGUUGUAAACCUCUUUCAGCAGGGACGAAGCGAAAGUGACGGUACCUGCAGAAGAAGCACCGGCCAACUACGUG
rnacentral:rRNA from 1 species